rnacentral:rRNA from 1 species
UACGUAGGGGGGCAAGCGUUGUCCGGAAUCAUUGGGCGUAAAGAGCGUGUAGGCGGCUUGGCAAGUCUCGCGUGAAAUCCUGCGGCUCAACCGCAGGCGGUCGCGGGAAACUGCCUCGCUAGAGUCCGGAAGAGGAGAGUGGAAUUCCUGGUGUAGCGGUGGAAUGCGCAGAUAUCAGGAAGAACACCCGUGGCGAAGGCGGCUCUCUGGGACGGUACUGACGCUGAGACGCGAAAGCGUGGGGAGCGAACAGG